CCUACGGGCGGCAGCAGUGGGGAAUAUUGGACAAUGGGGGGAACCCUGAUCCAGCCAUGCCGCGUGUGUGAAGAAGGCCCUCGGGUUGUAAAGCACUUUCAGUGAGGAAGAACGCCUGGUGGUUAAUACCCAUCAGGAAAGACAUCACUCACAGAAGAAGCACCGGCUAACUCCGUGCCAGCAGCCGCGGUAAUACGGAGGGUGCGAGCGUUAAUCGGAAUUACUGGGCGUAAAGCGCGCGUAGGUGGCUUGAUAAGCCGGUUGUGAAAGCCCCGGGCUCAACCUGGGAACGGCAUCCGGAACUGUCAAGCUAGAGUGCAGGAGAGGAAGGUAGAAUUCCCGGUGUAGCGGUGAAAUGCGUAGAGAUCGGGAGGAAUACCAGUGGCGAAGGCGGCCUUCUGGACUGACACUGACACUGAGGUGCGAAAGCGUGGGUAGCAAACAGGACUAGAUACCCUUGUAGUC
rnacentral:rRNA from 1 species